UACGUAGGGGGCAAGCGUUGUCCGGAAUCAUUGGGCGUAAAGAGCGUGUAGGCGGCCCGAUAAGUCCGCUGUGAAAGUCCAGGGCUCAACCCUGGAAAGCGGGUGGAUACUGCCGGGCUAGAAUCCGGAAGAGGCGAGUGGAAUUCCUGGUGUAGCGGUGGAAUGCGCAGAUAUCAGGAGGAACACCGGUGGCGAAGGCGGGUCUCUGGGCCGAUACUGACGCUGAGGAGCGAAAGCGUGGGGAGCGAACAGGG
rnacentral:rRNA from 1 species